UGGUGGCGACCGGCGCACGGGUGAGUAACGCGUAUGCAACCUACCCAUUACAGGGGAAUAACUCUCGGAAACGGGAACUAAUACCGCAUAAUACUAUUAGAUCGCAUGGUUUAAUAGUUAAAGAUUUAUUGGUAAUGGAUGGGCAUGCGUGACAUUAGUUAGUUGGUAGGGUAACGGCCUACCAAGACUACGAUGUCUAGGGGUUCUGAGAGGAAGGUCCCCCACACUGGUACUGAGACACGGACCAGACUCCUACGGGAGGCAGCAGUGAGGAAUAUUGGUCAAUGGGCGAGAGCCUGAACCAGCCAAGUCGCGUGCAGGAUGACUGCCUUAUGGGUUGUAAACUGCUUUUAUAAAGGAAUAACAACAGAAACGUGUUUCUGGAUGAAUGUACUUUAGGAAUAAGGAUCGGCUAACUCCGUGCCAGCAGCCGCGGUAAUACGGAGGAUCCAAGCGUUAUCCGGAUUUAUUGGGUUUAAAGGGUGCGUAGGCGGUAGCUUAAGUCAGUGGUGAAAGUUUGCAGCUCAACUGUAAAAUUGCCAUUGAAACUGGGUUACUUGAGUAUGGUAGAGGUAUGCGGAAUGCGUUGUGUAGCGGUGAAAUGCUUAGAUAUAACGCAGAACCCCAAUUGCGAAGGCAGCAUGCUGGACCAUUACUGACGCUGAGGCACGAAAGCGUGGGGAUCAAACAGGAUUAGAUACCCUGGUAGUCCACGCCGUAAACUAUGAAUGCUAGCUAUUGGCGAUAUACAGUCAGUGGCACA
rnacentral:rRNA from 1 species